rnacentral:rRNA from 1 species
UGGGGAAUAUUGGACAAUGGGCGAAAGCCUGACCCAGCAACGCCGCGUGAAGGAUGAAGUAUUUCGGUAUGUAAACUUCGAAAGAAUAGGAAGAAUAAAUGACGGUACUAUUUAUAAGGUCCGGCUAACUACGUGCCAGCAGCCGCGGUAAUACGUAGGGACCAAGCGUUGUUCGGAUUUACUGGGCGUAAAGGGCGCGUAGGCGGCAAUUCAAGUCAUCUGUGAAAUCUCCGGGCUUAACUCGGAACGGUCAGAUGAUACUGCUUUGCUAGAGUGCAGAAGGGGCAAUCGGAAUUCUUGGUGUAGCGGUGAAAUGCGUAGAUAUCAAGAGGAACACCUGAGGUGAAGACGGGUUGCUGGGCUGACACUGACGCUGAGGCGCGAAAGCCAGGGGAGCAAACGGGAUUAGAUACCCCCGUAGUCCCUGAGCGGGCUGGCAAGGCGCAU